rnacentral:misc_RNA from 1 species
UAGUGACGAGCCUCGAGUAUUAUACUUGAGGUACGUAACACCUGUGAAUUUCUAUGCGUGGCGAACGGCAUUGCGAAAGCUCAUUGCGAAAGCUCUGCAGUAGAGGAAUCUACACGUCGCCAAACUCAUCCACCGUCAAUACAAAUAAAAUAUA